ACGGAAAAAAAUAAUUUUUUCGUGCAGAAAUCCACUUCUGACCAUGUGGAACAACAGGCCUCAGAAAAAGAUGGCGACAGCAUGGAGGGAUCAGAAAUCCCACAGCGCACUGCCGAAAUACAAAACCAAGGGAGUACCCUCACUACAACUUACCUGUCCAAAGCACUGGAUGAUCUUUCCAGGAAAUUAAUAUCAUCAUGGCAGGCAUCAAUGGACUCCCUGCCCAAAGACGUUACAGAUCUCGGCCAACGCACAGCGCAUACGGAAUCCAAAAUGGAGGAAUUUACCUCCGCACACAAUGACCUAGCAGACCAUGUGGAAGAAUUGGAGGCAAAACUAGAACGAACAGAAACAAAACUUGCAGAUUUGGAGGACCGAGCACGACGAAACAACAUCUGCAUUAGGGGGAUACCCGAAGACAUUACAACAGCAGACCUACCAGCCUAUAUCCAAGGCCUACUCCAUACCUACGUGCCUGAUAUCCCUGCUGACAUGUUGCUCAUAGACCACAUGCACCGAGAACCACGGCCCAGACACCUACCAGACACUGUCUCCAGAGACACACUGAUCAAAGUCCACUAUUACCACAUCAAGGAAAUUAUCCUCAGGGCCUGCAGGAAUAAAACCGAGCCGCUUGAGAGCUACCCCACAGUGAAACUCUUCACCGACCUUUCAGCAGCGACACUCCGCAGGCGAAGAGACUUCUCCC